GCAACCGUUGCGUCCCGGCCAGGUAAGCAGCUUCCCUCUCAGCUGCCUCGUCUUUCUCCAAGUGCCUCUAUGUUGGCACAUCUCUGAAAUUCAUUAUUUGCUGAGUGAAAGAAGAAAGGGACCAGAGACACUGCUUUAAGUCUCUGGCACCGUGCAUAGCAGAAUUGGUUGGGAAGCGUGAGGCAUGGAGUUUUUGUCCUGCCCCUGCCUGGUUAGGCGACCAGAUGGUGGGACAGUCAUUCUCCUCUGCGUCUCCGCUUCCUUAGUGUGUUGAGGACGCUGCAGAAGGUACAGAGGAGACGGGUGGCUCCCUAAUGCCUGCUCGUUUCAGGUCUCAGCUCUGUUGUCUUCUUGGAGAGAAAACUUCCCUGACCUCCCUCCCGGGCGGAGCGCUCCUGCGCGCCUUGUUCGUUAGGAUUUAUUUUUGUACGUCUACCGUCAUUUUCGUAAUUAUUCGGUUUCCCUGUCUGGAUUUUGCAUCUCCAGCACUUAGCACGCAGGAAGUAGUCAGUAACCAUUUGUCAAAGGAAUAGAUGAAUGAAUGUGAGGAAUGACUUGUGAUUGAAAACUUAACUAGACACUGAGACUUCCACGAACUGGGAGGCAUUUGCCCAGGGUCACACAACCGAGAUGGGAAGCCAGAUUCGCCCCUUCCUGUCUAGGUGGUGGAAAGUAAGAUAAAUCCCAGGGAGAGGUGAACGUGAAGGAGGAUGGAGCCGUUCAGCACCACCCGCAUCAGAAUGGUCUGAGGCAAGGGGGAGGAGGAAUGCUUGCGAAAAUGCAUAUUCGUAGGCCCACACACAGACAACGGGAAUGAAGCCUAGAGUUAUUGUUCUAGAGCUUUGCUAUUCAAACUGUGGCCCCUGGACAAAGUAUCGCUUCUCAGACAUCUCCGGAAUCACCUAGGAAUGUGUUAAAAUGCAAAUUCUGCUUUUCUAACAAGUGCCGCAGUCCACGGUCCGCAGUUCACUUUGCACACCGCGGAUCUAGCGAUGACUUUCCAACUUGGCUGCACAUCAGAGUCACCUGAGGAACUUGUUGUUAUUGUUGUUGUUGUUGAGACGAAGACUUGCUCUUGUCCCCCAGGCUGGA
rnacentral:lncRNA from 1 species